rnacentral:rRNA from 1 species
UGCAAGUCGAGCGGAAACGAUCCUAGCUUGCUAGGAGGCGUCGAGCGGCGGACGGGUGAGUAAUGCAUAGGAAUCUGCCCGGUAGUGGGGGAUAACUUGAGGAAACUCAAGCUAAUACCGCAUACGCCCUACGGGGGAAAGCAGGGGCUCUUCGGACCUUGCGCUAUCGGAUGAGCUUAUGUCGGAUUAGCUGGUUGGUGAGGUAACGGCUCACCAAGGCGACGAUCCGUAGCUGGUCUGAGAGGAUGAUCAGCCACAUCGGGACUGAGACACGGCCCGAACUCCUACGGGAGGCAGCAGUGGGGAAUAUUGGACAAUGGGGGCAACCCUGAUCCAGCCAUGCCGCGUGUGUGAAGAAGGCCCUCGGGUUGUAAAGCACUUUCAGCGAGGAAGAAUGCUUGUCGGUUAAUACCCGGCAAGGGAGACAUCACUCGCAGAAGAAGCACCGGCUAACUCCGUGCCAGCAGCCGCGGUAAUACGGAGGGUGCGAGCGUUAAUCGGAAUUACUGGGCGUAAAGCGUGCGUAGGCGGCUUGAUAAGCCGGUUGUGAAAGCCCCGGGCUCAACCUGGGAACGGCAUCCGGAACUGUCAGGCUAGAGUGCAGGAGAGGAAGGUAGAAUUCCCGGUGUAGCGGUGAAAUGCGUAGAGAUCGGG